rnacentral:rRNA from 1 species
CCUACGGGAGGCAGCAGUGAGGAAUAUUGGUCAAUGGACGAGAGUCUGAACCAGCCAAGUAGCGUGAAGGAUGACUGCCCUAUGGGUUGUAAACUUCUUUUAUAUGGGAAUAAAAUGUUCCACGUGUGGGAUUUUGUAUGUACCAUAUGAAUAAGGAUCGGCUAACUCCGUGCCAGCAGCCGCGGUAAUACGGAGGAUCCGAGCGUUAUCCGGAUUUAUUGGGUUUAAAGGGAGCGUAGGUGGAUUGUUAAGUCAGUUGUGAAAUUUUGCGGCUCAACCGUAAAAUUGCAGUUGAAACUGGCAGUCUUGAGUACAGUAGAGGUGGGCGGAAUUCGUGGUGUAGCGGUGAAAUGCUUAGAUAUCACGAAGAACUCCGAUUGUGAAGGCAGCUCACUGGACUGCAACUGACACUGAGGCUCGAAAGUGUGGGUAUCAAACAGGAUUAGAUACCCCAGUAGUC